rnacentral:rRNA from 1 species
GAGUUUGAUCAUGGCUCACAUUNAACGCUGGCGGCAGGCCUAACACAUGCAAGUCGAGCGGAAACGAGUUAUCUGAACCUUCGGGGAACGAUAACGGCGUCGAGCGGCGGACGGGUGAGUAAUGCCUAGGAAAUUGCCCUGACGUGGGGGAUAACCAUUGGAAACGAUGGCUAAUACCGCAUAAUGCCUACGGGCCAAAGAGGGGGACCUUCGGGCCUCUCGCGUCAGGAUAUGCCUAGGUGGGAUUAGCUAGUUGGUGAGGUAAUGGCUCACCAAGGCGACGAUCCCUAGCUGGUCUGAGAGGAUGAUCAGCCACACUGGAACUGAGACACGGUCCAGACUCCUACGGGAGGCAGCAGUGGGGAAUAUUGCACAAUGGGCGCAAGCCUGAUGCAGCCAUGCCGCGUGUGUGAAGAAGGCCUUCGGGUUGUAAAGCACUUUCAGUCGUGAGGAAGGUAGUGUAGUUAAUAGCUGCAUUAUUUGACGUUAGCGACAGAAGAAGCACCGGCUAACUCCGUGCCAGCAGCCGCGGUAAUACGGAGGGUGCGAGCGUUAAUCGGAAUUACUGGGCGUAAAGCGCAUGCAGGUGGUUUGUUAAGUCAGAUGUGAAAGCCCGGGGCUCAACCUCGGAAUUGCAUUUGAAACUGGCAGACUAGAGUACUGUAGAGGGGGGUAGAAUUUCAGGUGUAGCGGUGAGAUGCGUAGAGAUCUGAAGGAAUACCGGUGGCGAAGGCGGCCCCCUGGACAGAUACUGACACUCAGAUGCGAAAGCGUGGGGAGCAAACAGGAUUAGAUACCCUGGUAGUCCACGCCGUAAACGAUGUCUACUUGGANGUUGUGGCCUUGAGCCGUGGCUUUCGGAGCUAACGCGUUAAGUAAA